ACAGAACACCGAUUGCGAAGGCAGCUUACCAAACUAUAUCUGACGUUGAGGCACGAAAGCGUGGGGAGCAAACAGGAUUAGAUACCCUGGUAGUCCACGCAGUAAACGAUGAUAACUCGUUGUCGGCGAUACACAGUCGGUGACUAAGCGAAAGCGAUAAGUUAUCCACCUGGGGAGUACGUUCGCAAGAAUGAAACUCAAAGGAAUUGACGGGGGCCCGCACAAGCGGAGGAACAUGUGGUUUAAUUCGAUGAUACGCGAGGAACCUUACCCGGGCUUGAAAGUUAGCGACGAUUCUUGAAAGAGGAUUUCCCUUCGGGGCGCGAAACUAGGUGCUGCAUGGUUGUCGUCAGCUCGUGCCGUGAGGUGUCGGGUUAAGUCCCAUAACGAGCGCAACCCCUACCGUUAGUUGCCAUCAGGUGAAGCUGGGCACUCUGGCGGGACUGCCGGUGUAAGCCGAGAGGAAGGUGGGGAUGACGUCAAAUCAGCACGGCCCUUACGUCCGGGGCUACACACGUGUUACAAUGGUAGGUACAGAGGGCAGCUACCCAGCGAUGGGAUGCGAAUCUCGAAAGCCUAUCUCAGUUCGGAUUGGAGGCUGAAACCCGCCUCCAUGAAGUUGGAUUCGCUAGUAAUCGCGCAUCAGCCAUGGCGCGGUGAAUACGUUCCCGGGCCUUGUACACACCGCCCGUCAAGCCAUGGGAGCCGGGGGUGCCUGAAGUUCGUGACCGCAAGGAGCGACCUAGGGCAAAACUGGUGACUGGGGCUAAGUCGUAACAAGGUAGCCGUACCGGAAGGUGCGGCUG
rnacentral:rRNA from 1 species